AACGAACGCUGGCGGCAGGCCUAACACACGCAAGUCGAGCGCGUGUAGCAAUACACGAGCGGCGCACGGGUGAGUAGCGCGUGGGAGUCUGCCCUGUGGUGGGGGACAACCUCGGGAAACUGAGGCUAAUACCGCAUACGUCCUUCGGGAGAAAGACUUCGGUCGCCAUAGGAGGAGCCCGCGUCCGAUUAGCUAGUUGGUGAGGUAACGGCUCACCAAGGCGGCGAUCGGUAGCUGGUCUGAGAGGACGGCCAGCCACACUGGGACUGAGACACGGCCCAGACUCCUACGGGAGGCAGCAGUGGGGAGUAUUGGACAAUGGGGGCAACCCUGAUCCAGCCAUGCCGCGUGAGUGAUGAAGGCCUUCGGGUUGUAAAGCUCUUUUGGCGGGGAAGAUGAUGACGGUACCCGCAGAAUAAGCCCCGGCUAACUUCGUGCCAGCCGCCGCCGUAACAC
rnacentral:rRNA from 1 species